rnacentral:rRNA from 1 species
UACAGAGGUCUCGAGCGUUAGGCGGAAUCACUGGGCUUAAAGCGUGUGUAGGUGGAUCGUUAAGUACCUUGUGAAAUCCCACGGCUUAACCGUGGAACUGCUUGGUAUACUGGGCGGUCUUGAGCCACUUAGGGGCUACCGGGAACAAAAUGGUGGGAGCGGUGAAAUGCGCAGAUAUCAAGGAGGAACACCAAUUGCGAAGGCAGCUCGCUGGAACGUAAACUGACGC